rnacentral:rRNA from 1 species
AUUGAACGCUGGCGGCAGGCCUAACACAUGCAAGUCGAACGAGUGGGGACGGGUGAGUAACACGUGGGUAACCUCCCAUCAGAGGGGAUAACACUUGGAAACAGGUGCUAAACCGAUAUUGAUGGAUGGACCCGCGGUGCAUUAGCUAGUUGGGGAGGUAACGGCUCACCAAGGCCACGAUGCAUAGCCGACCUGAGAGGGUGAUCGGCCACACUGGAACUGAGACACGGCCCAGACUCCUACGGGAGGCAGCAGUAGGGAAUCUUGCGCAAUGGACGAAAGUCUGACCCAGCAACGCCGCGUGAGUGAAGAAGGUUUUCGGAUCGUAAAGCUCUGUUGUUAGAGAAGCGGUAUCUAACCAGAAAGCCACGGCUAACUACGUGCCAGCAGCCGCGGUAAUAC